AUUGAACGCUGGCGGCAUGCUUUACACAUGCAAGUCGAACGGUAACAGGCCUUCGGGCGCUGACGAGUGGCGAACGGGUGAGUAAUGCAUCGGAACGUGCCCAGUCGUGGGGGAUAACUAUCCGAAAGGAUAGCUAAUACCGCAUACGAUCUGCGGAUGAAAGCGGGGGACCUUCGGGCCUCGCGCGAUUGGAGCGGCCGAUGUCAGAUUAGGUAGUUGGUGGGGUAAAGGCUCACCAAGCCGACGAUCUGUAGCUGGUCUGAGAGGACGACCAGCCACACUGGGACUGAGACACGGCCCAGACUCCUACGGGAGGCAGCAGUGGGGAAUUUUGGACAAUGGGCGCAAGCCUGAUCCAGCAAUGCCGCGUGCAGGAAGAAGGCCUUCGGGUUGUAAACUGCUUUUGUACGGAACGAAACGGCUCUGGUUAAUACCCGGGGCUAAUGACGGUACCGUAAGAAUAAGCACCGGCUAACUACGUGCCAGCCGCCGCAGUAAUAC
rnacentral:rRNA from 1 species